rnacentral:lncRNA from 1 species
UUCGUAAUUUUUCUAAGGAAUUCAUUGUACUGUCUUUCCUUUUUGCCUUCAAGCCCGUCAGAACUGAAAUUCUAUCAAUUGACUGAACUUUUGACUUAUAAAUUUAUCUAUUUCACUAAGGCAUUCUUACCCAUAUGCUUUUUCCGAGCUGGACUAGCUGUACCUGUGAGCUCUGUUUUUAACAGUAGGCUGAACUCUCGAUCUACGAGUUUUUAUGAUUCUUAUAAGAACAUCCUCAUUUUUCUCUUAUUACUUCGUUACUAUGAGCUCGGGCAUACAGCUUUUGCUUAAUAACAAUAAGUUAGAUCAUGUACUUUUAAAGGUGAUGAGCAGGGCUGGCCUUUUUGCUUUUAGUUUUGAUUUGCUGGACUGAAGCUGGGGUCUCAUCUGUUCACG